GCGCCUGUAGCGCAACGGAUAGCGCAUCAGCCUCCGAAGCUGGUGGUGCAGGUUCAAUUCCUGCCAGGCGCA
rnacentral:tRNA from 1 species